rnacentral:rRNA from 1 species
GCGAACGCUGGCGGCAGGCUUCACACAUGCAAGUCGCGCGGGCAUCCUUGUGGUGUCAGCGGCAGACGGGUGAGUAACGCGUGGGAACGUGCCCUUCGGUUCGGAAUAACUCAGGGAAACUUGAGCUAAUACCGGAUACGUGCGAGAGCAGAAAGGUUUAUCUGCCGAAGGAUCGGCCCGCGUCUGAUUAGCUAGUUGGUGAGGUUACGGCUCACCAAGGCGACGACCAGUAGCUGGUCUGAGAGGAUGAUCAGCCACACUGGGACUGAGACACGGCCCAGACUCCUACGGGAGGCAGCAGUGGGGAAUAUUGGACAAUGGGGGCAACCCUGAUCCAGCCAUGCCGCGUGAGUGAUGACGGCCUUAGGGUUGUAAAGCUCUUUUCUCCGGGACGAUAAUGACGGUACCGGAGGAAUAAGCCCCGGCUAACUUCGUG